rnacentral:rRNA from 1 species
UACAGAGGUCCCAAGCGUUGUUCGGAUUCACUGGGCGUAAAGGGUGCGUAGGUGGCCUAAAAAGUUUGAUGUGAAAGCUCAGGGCUUAACCCUGAAAUGGCAUUGAAUACUGUUGGGCUGGAGGUUUGGAGGGGGGACUGGAAUUCUUGGUGUAGCAGUGAAAUGCGUAGAUAUCAAGAGGAACACCAGUGGCGAAGGCGAGUCCCUGGACAACACCUGACACUGAGGCACGAAAGCCGGGGGAGCAAACAGG